UUUCCGUAGGUGAACCUGCGGAAGGAUCAUUACCGAGUGAGGGCCCUCUGGGUCCAACCUCCCACCCGUGUUUAUCGUACCUUGUUGCUUCGGCGGGCCCGCCGUUCCGGCCGCCGGGGGGCAUCCGCCCCCGGGCCCGCGCCCGCCGAAGACACCAUUGAACGCUGUCUGAAGAAUGCAGUCUGAGCGAUUAGCUAAAUCAGUUAAAACUUUCAACAACGGAUCUCUUGGUUCCGGCAUCGAUGAAGAACGCAGCGAAAUGCGAUAAGUAAUGUGAAUUGCAGAAUUCAGUGAAUCAUCGAGUCUUUGAACGCACAUUGCGCCCCCUGGUAUUCCGGGGGGCAUGCCUGUCCGAGCGUCAUUGCUGCCCUCAAGCACGGCUUGUGUGUUGGGCCCCGCCCCCCGGCUACCGGGGGGCGGGCCCGAAAGGCAGCGGCGGCACCGCGUCCGGUCCUCGAGCGUAUGGGGCUUCGUCACCCGCUCUGUAGGCCCGGCCGGCGCCCGCCGGCGACCCCCCUCAAUCUUUCUCAGGUUGACCUCGGAUCAGGUAGGGAUACCCGCUGAACUUAA
rnacentral:misc_RNA from 1 species